rnacentral:rRNA from 1 species
UACAGGGGGGGCAAGCGUUGUUCAGAAUUACUGGGCGUAAAGGGCUCGUAGGCGGCCAACUAAGUCACACGUGAAAUCCCCAGGCUUAACCUGGGAACUGCGUGUGAUACUGGAUGGCUUGAAUUCGGGAGAGGGAUGCAGAAUUCCAGGUGUAGCGGUGAAAUGCGUAGAUAUCUGGAGGAAUACCGGUGGCGAAGGCGGCAUCCUGGACCGACAUUGACGCUGAGGAGCGAAAGCUAGGGGAGCAAACGGG